rnacentral:rRNA from 1 species
ACUUAUUUUGGUCAUUAAUAUAACUUGCUUGAAAGUUUGUAGUUAAAAAAAUAAUUAGGAUAUGAGUACGGGAUAGAAAUUAGUUAUUGGCGAUAGAGAAGGAGUACUGUGAAGGAAAAUUGAAAUAAUAAAAUAAUUAAGUUGGAAGUAUAGGUAAAAUUUAGUACCUUGUGUAUUAGGGAUAUUUUAUAUUAUGUAGUUAAAUUUAUUUUUCCCGAAAUAAGGGGAGCUAAGUUGAAAGGUGAGUUUUUGUAGUAAAAAAAUUUACAAUUUUAUUUUAGUAGUGAGAUGUUAAUCGAACCUUAAGAUAUCUGGUUUUCUUUGAAAAAAAUUUAAUUUUUUCUUUAUGUUAGAAGUGUGGGUAAGGCAUAGGGGUAGGGGGGUAAAGCUCUUUACACGAUAGGUUUUAAUUAUAAGGAUGAGUAUAGAUGAUACUGGGCUAGGCUUAGAAGUAGCCAUGCUUCCAAAGGGUUAUACUUGAGGUAGGUGUUAAAAAUAUUUAUUUGUUUUUUAGGGAAGUAGAAGGAAACGGUUAAAACUUUAAUUUAAUGGUUUAAAAUGAGUAUAUUAGUAUAUUAUAUUGUUUAUGAUUUUAUUGUAUUAAGUUGGAAAAUUAUAUUGUAGGUAGUAACGAAAAUUAAGGAAUUCGGCAAAGGAGAUGUUUCCGCCUGUUUAUCAAAAACAUGUCUAUAUGAUAGAUUUAUAAAGUCUGGCCUGCCCAUUGAGGUUUUGAAAGGCCGCGGUAUUGUGACCGUGCAAAGGUAGCAUAAUCAUUAGUCUUUUAAUUGAAGGCUGGUAUGAAUGGUUGGACGAGAAAUUAACUGUCUCAAAUUUUGAAAAUUGAAUUUUACUUUUAAGUGAGAAGGCUUAAAUGUGCUAGAGGGACGAUAAGACCCUAUAAAGUUUUGUACAUUAAACCAAUUAAUAGGCGAUUUAGGUUUGUAAGGUUUACUAUUAGGUAGAUGUUUGGUUGGGGCGACUAGGAUAUAAGUUAUUUAACUGUUCUUUGUUAGAAUCAAAGGUAUUUGAGUUUAUGAUCCUUUUUAAGGGUUAUAGAAUAAAUUACUUUAGGGAUAACAGCGUAAUUUUUUUUGAGAGUUCCUAUCGACAAAAGAGUUUGCGACCUCGAUGUUGAAUUAAAAUUUCUUUGUGGCGUAGAAGUUACAGGAGAAGGUCUGUUCGACCUUUAAAUUUUUACAUGAUUUGAGUUCAGACCGGUGAAAGCCAGGUUGGUUUCUAUCUUCUAGGGCAGGUGUAAUUAUUCUAGUACGAAAGGAUUGAGUAAUUGAAAUAGUUUCAAAAAGGUAAAAGUUAAUUAAACGAUGAAAAUUUCUUGAAGAGAAGUUGGUCAGAAAAAAGCAAAAGCUUAAC